GGUUGAGUGUCCGAGUGGUCGAUGGUGUAACCUUGGAAAGGUUAUGUAGUUAAUUCUACCAGGGGUUCGAAUCCCCUCUCAACCUCCA
rnacentral:tRNA from 1 species